rnacentral:rRNA from 1 species
UACGGAGGGGGCUAGCGUUGUUCGGAAUUACUGGGCGUAAAGCGCACGUAGGCGGCUUUGUAAGUUAGAGGUGAAAGCCCGGGGCUCAACUCCGGAAUUGCCUUUAAGACUGCAUCGCUCGAAUUGUGGAGAGGUAAGUGGAAUUCCGAGUGUAGAGGUGAAAUUCGUAGAUAUCGGGAGGAACACCAGUGGCGAAGGCGACUACUUGGCCCAUUCUUGACGCUGAGGCGCGAAAGCUAGGGGAGCGAACGGG